rnacentral:rRNA from 1 species
GACGAACGCUGGCGGCGUGCUUAACACAUGCAAGUCGAACGGAAAGGCCCUGCUUUUGUGGGGUGCUCGAGUGGCGAACGGGUGAGUAACACGUGAGUAACCUGCCCUUGACUUUGGGAUAACUUCAGGAAACUGGGGCUAAUACCGGAUAGGAGCUCCUGCUGCAUGGUGGGGGUUGGAAAGUUUCGGCGGUUGGGGAUGGACUCGCGGCUUAUCAGCUUGUUGGUGGGGUAGUGGCUUACCAAGGCUUUGACGGGUAGCCGGCCUGAGAGGGUGACCGGCCACAUUGGGACUGAGAUACGGCCCAGACUCCUCCGGGAGGCAGCAGUGGGGAAUAUUGCACAAUGGGCGGAAGCCUGAUGCAGCAACGCCGCGUGCGGGAUGACGGCCUUCGGGUUGUAAACCGCUUUCGCCUGUGACGAAGCGUGAGUGACGGUAAUGGGUAAAGAAGCACCGGCUAACUACGU